AAUGCAUUGCCUUAGAAGAUAAAUCAGAAAUCUUAUGUUUUAACACCAAAAAUUAAUAAAAUUUUUAUGGCACAUAGAGAAGGAAGAGUCUUUCUACUUUAAGUAUUUGAAUCAUCAAAAAUUUACUCGAUGAAUUUAUUUGAUGCAUGGGAAUUUGGAGCGCCAAAGUUGGCACCCCUUCAUCCCAUGUAAUGUCCCCUGGUCCCCUAUUUAUAGGGGAUGCCCC
rnacentral:lncRNA from 1 species